rnacentral:lncRNA from 1 species
UUUUGGAGUAAUUUCAGGAAAAAUCAAGGAUUAAUUGGAGGAUUUUGAAGAUAUUAUAUUGAAGUACGUCUCGAGAGGAAUCCGUGAGCGCAAACGGCGAUCAAAUCCGAGUCCGGACGAGGGAGAACGGAGCAAAACGAGCGGACUGCGCAUAACGCCCAGUAGCCCGCGGUCACCACCCGCGGCCGCGGGGUAAGACCGCGGGUCAGCUGUUCCCGACUCAGGAGACACCCGCGGUCACCACCCGCGGCCGCGGGGCGGGACCGCGGGUCCCCUGAGCAUCCCCACGUUUGAAGGCCGCGGACGCGGGCCGUGACCGCGGGAAAGGGCGGGGCU